rnacentral:sRNA from 1 species
GCCUAGCCCUGAUGGCAGCGGCAUCUUCUUGUGGCGGGGUUCGCCACAAGAAAUACAGCGAACAGCAGGAAUAGCU